rnacentral:rRNA from 1 species
GACGAACGCUGGCGGCGUGCCUAAUACAUGCAAGUCGAGCGGAUGACGGAGGAGCUUGCUCCUCCUGAUUCAGCGGCGGACGGGUGAGUAACACGUGGGCAACCUGCCCUGUAGAUUGGGAUAACUCCGGGAAACCGGGGCUAAUACCGAAUAAUCCUUCGGACCUCAUGGUCCGAUGUUGAAAGACGGUUUCGGCUGUCACUACAGGAUGGGCCCGCGGCGCAUUAGCUAGUUGGUGAGGUAACGGCUCACCAAGGCCACGAUGCGUAGCCGACCUGGGAGGGUGUUCGGCCACACUGGGACUGAGACACGGCCCAGACUCCUACGGGAGGCAGCAGUAGGGAAUCUUCCACAAUGGACGAAAGUCUGAUGGAGCAACGCCGCGUGAGUGAAGAAGGUUCUCGGAUCGUAAAACUCUGUUGUGAGGGAAGAACAAGUACCGGAGUAACUGCCGGUGCCUUGACGGUACCUCAUUAGAAAGCCACGGCUAACUACGUGCCAGCCGCCGCGGUAA